rnacentral:tRNA from 1 species
AGUUCCCGCCUGGUUAUUCUCCAAGACUUACGGCCUGAAAAACCGUCGUUGUUGUACUUCAACUACAAGAAC